rnacentral:tRNA from 1 species
GGGCGCGUAGCUCAGCCGGAAGAAAAGCCUGAAUGGAUUUGUCCGUUCGUUCGGCACUAGAGCACUGGUCUUCUAAGCCGGGGGUCGCGGGUUCGAAUCCCGUCGCGCCCA